rnacentral:rRNA from 1 species
AAAUUGAAGAGUUUGAUCAUGGCUCAGAUUGAACGCUGGCGGCAGGCCUAACACAUGCAAGUCGAACGGUAACAGGAAGCAGCUUGCUGCUUUGCUGACGAGUGGCGGACGGGUGAGUAAUGUCUGGGAAACUGCCUGAUGGAGGGGGAUAACUACUGGAAACGGUAGCUAAUACCGCAUAAUGUCGCAAGACCAAAGAGGGGGACCUUCGGGCCUCUUGCCAUCGGAUGUGCCCAGAUGGGAUUAGCUAGUAGGUGGGGUAAAGGCUCACCUAGGCGACGAUCCCUAGCUGGUCUGAGAGGAUGACCAGCCACACUGGAACUGAGACACGGUCCAGACUCCUACGGGAGGCAGCAGUGGGGAAU